UCCCUGGUAGCUCAGAUGGUAAAGAAUCUGCCUGCAAUGCAGGAGACCUGGGUUCGAUCCUUAGUUCAGGAA
rnacentral:tRNA from 1 species